CCCUAGGUAGCUCAGUCGGAAGAGCAAGCAGAACACACAUCUCUGUUGAUGCUGGUUCGAGUCCAGUCUUGGGGU